rnacentral:misc_RNA from 1 species
UUAACUAUUAUAUAGUACUCAGACGACACUAAUAUGGUUCAGGGGUUUGGGGUCCUCUUCUGGCGGGCACUCCCCAGCCGAAGCCAAGGCGGGGCAAGGCCUCGUGGCCCACCGAAGCAACAAACUAUGAUAGGCACGGGUGGAAUUCCAACCCUUUGCAGGGCAGAAGACACUGUAAUGAUCCUUCCGCAGGUUCACCUACGGAAA